rnacentral:rRNA from 1 species
UACGAAGGGGGCGAGCGUUGUUCGGAAUUACUGGGCGUAAAGGGCGCGUAGGCGGCCGAGCAAGUUAGAUGUGAAAGUCCUGGGCUUAACCUGGGGACUGCAUUUGAUACUGCUUGGCUUGAAUUCGGGAGAGGAUAGCGGAAUUCCCAGUGUAGAGGUGAAAUUCGUAGAUAUUGGGAAGAAAACCGGUGGCGAAGGCGGCUAUCUGGACCGACAUUGACGCUGAGGCGCGAAAGCGUGGGGAGCAAACAGG